CUGCUGACAACGCUCUUGUGUUAGUGUUAAACAAAUCAAACCGCGACCAUGCGUCGCCAUAAAAUUAAUUGCAUCUGCACUGAUAUGCUCAGAUGCCAUAAUUA
rnacentral:antisense_RNA from 1 species